rnacentral:rRNA from 1 species
CUCCCCGAAAGCUAUUUAGGUAGCGCCUCGUGAACUCAUCUUCGGGGGUAGAGCACUGUUUCGGCUAGGGGGUCAUCCCGACUUACCAACCCGAUGCAAACUACGAAUACCGAAGAAUGUUAUCACGGGAGACACACGGCGGGUGCUAACGUCCGUCGUGAAGAGGGAAACAACCCAGACCGCCAGCUAAGGUCCCAAAGUCAUGGUUAAGUGGGAAACGAUGUGGGAAGGCCCAGACAGCCAGGAUGUUGGCUUAGAAGCAGCCAUCAUUUAAAGAAAGCGUAAUAGCUCACUGGUCGAGUCGGCCUGCGCGGAAGAUGUAACGGGGCUAAACCAUGCACCGAAGCUGCGGCAGCGACACUAUGUGUUGUUGGGUAGGGGAGCGUUCUGUAAGCCGUUGAAGGUGGCCUGUGAGGGUUGCUGGAGGUAUCAGAAGUGCGAAUGCUGACAUAAGUAACGAUAAUGCGGGUGAAAAACCCGCACGCCGGAAGACCAAGGGUUCCUGUCCAACGUUAAUCGGGGCAGGGUGAGUCGACCCCUAAGGCGAGGCCGAAAGGCGUAGUCGAUGGGAAACAGGUUAAUAUUCCUGUACUUGGUGUUACUGCGAAGGGGGGACGGAGAAGGCUAUGUUGGCCGGGCGACGGUUGUCCCGGUUUAAGCAUGUAGGCGGAUGUUCCAGGUAAAUCCGGAACGUCACUAACGCUGAGGUGUGAUGACGAGGCACUACGGUGCUGAAGUGACAAAUGCCCUGCUUCCAGGAAAAGCCUCUAAGCAUCAGGUAACAUCAAAUCGUACCCCAAACCGACACAGGUGGUCAGGUAGAGAAUACCAAGGCGCUUGAGAGAACUCGGGUGAAGGAACUAGGCAAAAUGGUGCCGUAACUUCGGGAGAAGGCACGCUGAUG